rfam:Gossypium raimondii Chr04_contig_177, whole genome shotgun sequence.
UGUUAAAAUAUUCAUCCAUUUCUACUAUUAAAAAGUGGUGUGUUUGAUAGAAUAAUCAAACAGUUACACAUGGUAUGUCAUGCGUAUAUUAUUCUAUUAUAUGUGGAUUGGUUUUUAAUACUAGAAAUGAAUAGAAUUUUUAAUA